CUGUUGGAAUACAGCGGCAUAGUGGUGAGACCCCCGUAUAUGGUGCGGACGCCCAGCGCUUUGUGAUACAUUUUCGAAGAGUCGAGUUGUUUGGGAAUGCAGCUCAAAUUGGGUGGUAAAUUCCAUCUAAAGCUAAAUAUUGGCGAGAGACCGAUAGCGAACAAGUACCGUGAGGGAAAGAUGAAAAGCACUUUGGAAAGAGAGUUAACAGUACGUGAAAUUGUUGGAAGGGAAACGCUUGAAGUCAGACUUGCUUGCCGAGCAAUCGGUUUGCAGGCCAGCAUCAGUUUUCCGGGAUGGAUAAUGGUAGAGAGAAGGUAGCAGUUUCGGCUGUGUUAUAGCUCUCUGCUGGAUACAUCUUGGGGGACUGAGGAACGCAGUGUGCCUUUGGCGGGGGUUUCGACCUCUUCACACUUAGGAUGCUGGUGGAAUGGCUUUAAACGACCCGUCUUGAAACACGGACCA
rnacentral:rRNA from 1 species